rnacentral:tRNA from 4 species
GGGCGAAUGGCGGAAUUGGUAGACGCGUCGGUCUUAGGAACCGAUAGAGCAAUCUGUGUAGGUUCGAGUCCUAUUUCGCCUACCA